AUUGACAUCUGGCGGCAGGCCUAACACAUGCAAGUCGAACAAGUGGCGGACGGGUGAGUAAUGUCUGGGAAACUGCCUGAUGGAGGGGGAUAACUACUGGAAACGGUAGCUAAUACCGCAUACCAUCAGAUGUGCCCAGAUGGGAUUAGCUUGUUGGUGGGGUAACGGCUCACCAAGGCGACGAUCCCUAGCUGGUCUGAGAGGAUGACCAGCAACACUGGAACUGAGACACGGUCCAGACGCCGACGGGAGGCAGCAGUGGGGAAUAUUGCACAAUGGGCGCAAGCCUGAUGCAGCCAGGCCGCGUGUAUGAAGAAGGCCUUAGGGUUGUAAAGUACUUUCAGCGGGGAGGCGUUACCCGCAGAAGAGGCACCGCCGAUGUCCGUGCCAGCAGCCGAGGUUAUAC
rnacentral:rRNA from 1 species